rnacentral:rRNA from 1 species
AUUUGCAGAGGAUGCUUUGGGUUCGGUUCCGGUCUAAGUUCCUUGGAACAGGACGUCAUAGAGGGUGAGAAUCCCGUAUGUGACCGGCCGCCACGCCCGUGUGAAGCUCCUUCGACGAGUCGAGUUGUUUGGGAAUGCAGCUCAAAAUGGGUGGUAAAUUUCAUCUAAAGCUAAAUACUGGCCAGAGACCGAUAGCGCACAAGUAGAGUGAUCGAAAGAUGAAAAGCACUUUGGAAAGAGAGUCAAACAGUACGUGAAAUUGUUGAAAGGGAAGCGCUUGCAACCAGACUUGCCCGUGGGUGAUCAGCCGGUAUUUUUACCGGUGCACUCACCCGCGGUCAGGCCAGCAUCGGUUCGGGCGGCUGGAUAAAGUCCACUGGAAUGUAGCCCCUCUCGGGGAGUGUUAUAGCCAGAGGUGUCAUGCAGCCCGCCCGGACCGAGGACCGCGCUUCGGCUAGGAUGCUGGCGUAAUGGUUGUAAGCGACCCGUCUUGAAACACGGACCAAGGAGUCUAACAUCUAUGCGAGUGUUUGGGUGUCAAACCCAUGCGCGUAAUGAAAGUGAACGGAGGUGGGAACCCUCAAGGGCGCACCAUCGACCGAUCCUGAUGUCUUCGGAUGGAUUUGAGUAAGAGCAUAGCUGUUGGGGACCCGAAAGAUGGUGAACUAUGCCU